AACAACCAAUCUUCUUACUAAAAUGUCCACUAAAAUGAGUCACUUGACAAAUUGUUUAGUGUUCUUCCUCCUUACCUUCGUGACUUACACUUCUGCUUCCGGCGUAUUUGAGGUCCAUAACAACUGCCCAUACACCGUAUGGGCGGCAGCAACCCCUGUAGGGGGUGGCCGACGUCUCGAACGAGGUCAAAGUUGGUGGUUCACCAGGUACUAAAAUGGCACGUAUAUGGGGUCGUACCAAUUGCAACUUUGAUGGUGCUGGUAGAGGUUGGUGCCAAACCGGUGAUUGUGGUGGAGUCUUAGAAUGCAAAGGGUGGGGUAAACCACCAAAUACUUUAGCCGAAUACGCGUUGAACCAAUUCAGCAACUUAGAUUUUUGGGAUAUUUCUGUAAUCGAUGGAUUCAACAUUCCUAUGUCUUUUGGCCCGACUAGGCCUGGCCCUGGAAAAUGUCACAGAAUUCAAUGCACCGCCAAUAUAAAUGGUGAAUGCCCUGGUUCACUUAGGGUACGUGGAGGAUGUAACAACCCAUGUACAACAUCUGGAGGACAACAAUAUUGUUGCACACAAGGACCAUGUGGUCCUACAGAGUUAUCAAGAUGGUUCAAACAAAGAUGUCCUGAUGCCUAUAGUUAUCCUCAAGAUGAUCCAACAAGUACAUUUACAUGCACAAGUUGGACUACAGAUUAUAAGGUUAUGUUCUGUCCUUAUGGAAGUGCUCACAGUAGAUCAGAUUGAGUGGAGUUAGCCAUCUUUUUCUUGUUUAAUUUGCUUGCAUUUUGGUCAUUGUCUAUAAUUUGUCUUUACACACAUUCUUAUGAUUUGUUUUCUUGAAGUGGCUAUGAUUUGAAUAACGAUCGAUCGAUCGCAUACUGUACUUUGAUAAUACAUCCAAAGAAAGUUCCAAACUAAUUCUAUUUAGUUUUCUCUA